rnacentral:rRNA from 1 species
UACAGAGGUCUCAAGCGUUGUUCGGAUUCAUUGGGCGUAAGGGUGCGUAGGCGGCGCGGUAAGUCGGGUGUGAAAUCUCGGGGCUUAACUCCGAAACUGCAUUCGAUACUGUGGUGCUUGAGGACUGGAGAGGAGACUGGAAUUCAUGGUGUAGCAGUGAAAUGCGUAGAGAUCAUGAGGAAGACCAGUGGCGAAGGCGGGGUCUCUGGACAGUUCCGUCGACACUGAGGCACGAAGGCCAGGGGAGCAAACGGG